GAUAAGUAUCCCUGAAGACAUAGGGUUCUGCACCCUAGAAUCACCUAAUCAUCGGAAUAGGUGCUGCUCAGCCCUUUGGUCAUUCCAGAGACCCUGGCUUUCUGGCUUUCUGACACUUCAUCUUUUAUGGUGGGUGCUUCUCAUAUUAUUGUCUUCCUUGUUUCAGGCAAG
rnacentral:lncRNA from 1 species